CGUGGCAAGUGAACAAGCAUCUGUGCUUCGGAAAUCAGUGGCUGGAAGGUGUUCUGUGAAAAGCAGCAUGUGGGAAAGCAGCUUAAAACAGACCCUCCCAAAUCACAUCUUCUGUGAUUUUAAGGGAUAUGAGAUAAAAAAAAUCCAUAGAAAAUCUACAGAUUUGUGAGAUUACUCGGCUCCAAAUCGCUGCUGUUUUGAGAGUCUCUGUCCAAAUUCCCCUGAGUGGGAUUCCGCCUGUCAGAGGAAAUGGCCUAAGAGGUUGUCUUACAAUUGAAAUUGGGUUGGGAGGUGAAAAAACAGUGACUUUACGAAGGAGGGGUGUGAUCAGCUGCACACUUGUCUGCCCCUGCUCAUACUCAGCUUGCUGAAAUGGAGCGACUUCAAUUGAUUUUGCUAUUUUUGCAGUGCUGACUGACAAGCCAGUGAAGAGGGAACUGUGUUCUGUGAGAGAGCGGCAUGGGAGGGGCAUGUCCCACUGCCUGUGCUGCACUGCUGGGAGCUACCCGGAGCUUUGGCUUCUCAUCUGCGCUGUGCACCGAUGAGCUACUGUAUUACUGUGUUUUAUGUGCAAAGGGUAACGUACACCUACUCCGUCAAAGGAUCCCUAUA